rnacentral:rRNA from 1 species
AGCGAACGCUGGCGGCAGGCUUAACACAUGCAAGUCGAGCGGGCAUCCUUGUGGUGUUAGCGGCAGACGGGUGAGUAACGCGUGGGAACGUGCCCUUCGGUUCGGAAUAACUCAGGGAAACUUGAGCUAAUACCGGAUACGUGCGAGAGCAGAAAGGUUUAUCUGCCGAAGGAUCGGCCCGCGUCUGAUUAGCUAGUUGGUGAGGUUAUGGCUCACCAAGGCGACGAUCAGUAGCUGGUCUGAGAGGAUGAUCAGCCACACUGGGACUGAGACACGGCCCAGACUCCUACGGGAGGCAGCAGUGGGGAAUAUUGGACAAUGGGGGCAACCCUGAUCCAGCCAUGCCGCGUGAGUGAUGACGGCCUUAGGGUUGUAAAGCUCUUUUCUUCGGGACGAUAAUGACGGUACCGGAGGAAUAAGCCCCGGCUAACUUCGUG